rnacentral:rRNA from 1 species
UACGGAGGGUGCAAGCGUUAUCCGGAUUCACUGGGUUUAAAGGGUGCGUAGGAGGGCAGGUAAGUCAGUGGUGAAAUCCCCGAGCUUAACUUGGGAACUGCCGUUGAUACUAUCUGUCUUGAAUAUAGUGGAGGUGAGCGGAAUAUGUCAUGUAGCGGUGAAAUGCUUAGAUAUGACAUAGAACAUCGAUUGCGAAGGCAGCUCGCUACGCUAUUAUUGACACUGAGGCACGAAAGCGUGGGGAGCAAACAGG